GCCCGCUUGGCUCAGCGGUAGAGCGUAAGUUGAAAUGAUGAGGUCGUCAGUUCGACUCUGGCAGUGGGCA
rnacentral:tRNA from 1 species